rnacentral:rRNA from 1 species
GACGAACGCUGGCGGCGUGCUUAACACAUGCAAGUCGAACGGAAAGGCCCUGCUUUUGUUGGGUGCUCGAGUGGCGAACGGGUGAGUAACACGUGAGUAACCUGCCCUUGUCUUUGGGAUAACUUCAGGAAACUGGGGCUCAUACCGGAUAGGAGCUCCUGCUGCAUGUUGGUGGUUGGAAAGUUUCGGCGGUUGGGGAUGGACUCGCGGCUUAUCAGCUUGUUGGUGUGGUAGUGGCUUACCAAGGCUUUGACGGGUAGCCGGCCUGGGAGGGUGACCGGGCACAUGGGGACUGAGAUACGGAGCAGAAUGCUACGGGAGGCAGCAGUGGGGAAUAUUGCACAAUGAGCGGAAGCGUGAGGCAGCAACGCCGCGUGCGGGAUGACGGCCUUCGAGGUGUAAACAGAUUUCGAAUGAGACGAAGAGUGAGUGACGGUAAUGGGUAAAGAAGCAACGGCUAACUACGUG